CUCUGUGACUCCUACGGGAGGCAGCAGUGGGGAAUAUUGCACAAUGGGGGAAACCCUGAUGCAGCCAUGCCGCGUGUGUGAAGAAGGCCUUCGGGUUGUAAAGCACUUUCAGUAGGGAGGAAGGUAGUGUAGUUAACACCUGCACUAUUUGACGUUACCUACAGAAGAAGCACCGGCUAACUCCGUGCCAGCAGCCGCGGUAAUACGGAGGGUGCGAGCGUUAAUCGGAAUUACUGGGCGUAAAGCGCAUGCAGGCGGCCUGUUAAGUCAGAUGUGAAAGCCCGGGGCUUAACCUCGGAAUUGCAUUUGAAACUGGCAGGCUAGAGUCUUGUAGAGGGGGUAGAAUUUCAGGUGUAGCGGUGAAAUGCGUAGAGAUCUGAAGGAAUACCAGUGGCGAAGGCGGCCCCCUGGACAAAGACUGACGCUCAGAUGCGAAAGCGUGGGGAGCAAACAGGAUUAGAUUCCCUGUAG
rnacentral:rRNA from 1 species